CUUGGACAAUGGGCGAAAGCCCGAUCCAGCAAUAUCGCGUGAGUGAAGAAGGGCAAUGCCGCUUGUAAAGCUCUUUCGUCGAGUGCGCGAUCAUGACAGGACUCGAGGAAGAAGCCCCAGCUAACUCCGCUAGAGAGUUGGGAAACUGAAGAAACUUCAUCCUUGCUUGGGCACCAAAGCUUGAUUGAAGCUAGUAAAAUCUCUAAACCCCAAUCCUCUUCUGCUUUUUGCAUGGCUGAGCUUGUCCCAUCUUAUUCAAUGAAUGCCAUUGCCAUGUUUAUUUUGAUUCCUACCAAAACUUCGCUAUAGCCCUUUAGAUGUCAUCACAUAAACCCCUUGGAAGUUUGAAACACUCAUUGCGUAUAUUGGUAUUGCUUGGGCUAAUUUAGGAUUGCCACGGUUGAUGAAAUAAGUUGUUUUUACAAUUUUGGAUAAAAACUUGUUUAGUCUCUAUAUUAUGAAUUAGUGAUUGUUUAGUACUUAUAUUUUUUAAAAUAGCUCAAAACAUCCCAACCAUUAAACUAUUGACAUCCCUACUGUUUUUUUUUUUUUUUUUUGCUUGCUUUUACAAUAUUAUCAUCUUACAGUAAUUUUUUUGGGACAUUAAUAUGAGAAAAAUUAAAGUACCAAUUUAGCACCCAAAAAAUUAAAAACAUAUAUAUUAAUUUUUGUGGAAGCUCACAUAUGUCUAAAAAAAUUAAAUUACCAGUUUUUCAGAAAUUAAUAAAAAAUAAUAUAUUAACUCCUCAACAGAGUGUUCCACAAAAAUUAAUUUAUAUUCCUUUUGUUGCUAUUUUAUUUUUUGGGGUUAAGUUGGCAAUUUAUUUUUUUAUUAAUGUCCAAAAAAAGAAACAAAAUUGGAAGAAGAUAAUAUUGUAAAAGCAAUUCAAAAGGUACAAAAAGUAACGACAGGGAUGUCAAUAAUUUAAUAGUAAGAAUAUUUUGAAGUAUUUUUUAAAAUACAUAAAUUAUACGGGCACUAACCUCAAAAUAUAAGAAAUAAAAGAAAUUUUACCCUACAAUAAUGCUAUAUGAAUGAAAUAAAGUGUUGAUAUAAAGUGUGAUUGAAAAAGUAACUUGGCAUUUGAUAUAUUCUGUUGUUAAAGUUAUUGUGAGUUUGAAAAGAAAAAUACGUAUUUUCAGUAAAUUUUAUCACGAAAAUAAUAUUUUAUUAUAUAAUGGCUAAAAAGACAAAAUUUAUUCUUAUUUAUAUAUUGAGGUUUAUAAACAAUAAAACAUAUAUAAUAAUUAUUUUAUUAAAAUAUUAAGGUUAUAGUAUAAAUUUAAAAAAGAUGUGGCGGUUUAUUUAGUAAGUUAUAAAUAACAUCCCCUACGUGCUUUUAAGAAUCACUGUCAAAAUAAAAAAAACUUGUAGAGUAUUUUUACCAAAACUUAUCAAAUAAGCAGUUUAUGACAUUUUAACCUUAAUCCGAAACGUACCUUAAUUGUUGCUUAUCAUACAAUUAAAAGGUUAUAGUAUUGAUAUCAUUAGAUAAUCUUUUGCUGUAUAUAUACUCUUCUGCAGACCGCCUCCACGUUCUUUCGCCAUCAAAGAAUAACAACACACAAGAGUUUGACUCUUCUAACUCUUCUAAGCAUUUGGCUAAACGAUGUCGGCAAACACCGAUUUAGACAAUACGACGUCGCCUUUGUUAGAGGCUGGUGGUGAUGAUGAUCACGGAGAAGAAGAAGCAACCAGCAUCAGGAGGCGGUGGUGGAAACGAGUUUUGGACUUGGAAGAGGCCAAGAAUCAAGUGGUGUUUUCGCUACCCAUGAUUCUUGCUAAUGUUUUUUAUUAUGCAAUUCCUUUGGUUUCUGUCAUGUCUGCUGGCCACCUUGGCCAGCUUGAGCUUGCUGGUGCCACACUUGCCAACUCUUGGGCCACCGUCACAGGAUUCGCUUUCAUGGUAACCACACUUUCUCUUUAUUUCUUUUGAAUCUGCCGCUGAUAGCUCAUCAAGUUUCUACAGAUUUCAUAUAAAGUUUUCUGUUCCUGAAUACAACAAAUUAAAUCAUUAGAAAGAGUAUUUUUAUGCCAGAAAUCUAUCUGAUCAGCUGCGUGCAGACAUAUUAUUGUACGCGUGAUUAGCUACAUGUCAUUUAUUUCAUUGACUGGUGUCUCAAAGUCCUGGACAAAUGAAAUCGUGACAUGUGGCCUGUCUGGUGCUUAAUUUUUUUUCUUUUAAUAAAGUGCUUAUAUUAUUUCUUGUUAAUUACAAUGGACAUUAUUUUACCCCCCAAAAAAAAAAAUAUUGUGAUGGAAUAUGAUUGUUUCGAGCAUUUGAAGUAAUGUGCAGGAGGGAUAUUUAUAAACUAAAUUAAUCGUGCAUAAAAUGAAAAGAGUAAGUUGAUAAUAAUGCUCAGGUCCAGACGUCUAAAAUCCAGACUUGAAAUAGAAUCAGAGUGUAACUACAGCACCAUUGAUUUAGUUCAAAUCCAGAAAUCCAGACCUGAGAAUGACUCAUUGAUCUAAUUUAAAGUUUUAAACUUAAGCAAUCACAAAAAAUACAAUUUGUAUGGCACAUGAUCAUUGACCAAAACCAACACAAGAGUGAUUUUGGGGAGAAAUUCUUGCAGUUGAAAAUCCCUUAGAUGAAGCUUGAACUUCUACUAAGUUUGCCCCCAGGGAUUGUGCUGGUAUUAAUGAAGAUUGAAUGCUUGAUUGAUUGUGCAUUUGUGCUGGUUAACAGGGUCUUAAUUUUUUUUUUUUUUUCCCCAAGAUGGGACAAAUGACUUGUUUUUCUGAGAACUGACAUAAGUGUGUGACUAGAUUCUGUUUGGACUCAAUUUUCACCGGGCUCUUUUCUUGAACUUGAACAUUUUCAUCUCUGUUCUUGUCCAAAGAUAGGAUUAAGUGGAGCACUUGAAACACUUUGCGGUCAAGGAUUUGGUGCAAAACAUUACAGGAUGUUGGGAAUAUAUCUGCAAGCAUCUUGGAUUACAUCAUUAUUUUUCUCAAUCAUCAUAUCUUUCUUGUGGAUCUACACAGAACCAAUACUUAUUUUACUUCAUCAAGAUCCCAGCAUAUCAAAACAAGCAGCUCUCUACAUGAAGUAUCUCAUUCCCGGUCUAGUUGCAUACGGGGUUAUACAGAACAUCCUAAGGUUUCUUCAGACACAAUCCAUAGUCAUUCCCUUGAUCUUCUUCUCAGCUCUCCCAAUGGCAAUUCAUUUUGGCAUUGCAUAUGCUUUUGUAUAUUUGACAUCCCUUGGUUUUAAGGGAGCUUCACUAGCAGCUUCAGUUUCGUUAUGGAUAUCGAUGCUUAUGCUGGUAACUUAUGUCCUUUGUGCAAAAAAGUUUGAGCAUACGUGGGAAGGAUUUUCUUUUGAAUCAUUCAGUUUCAUCCUCACCAUCUUAAAACUAGCCCUGCCCUCUGCAGCAAUGGUAUGGUAAGUCCCAAGUGUAACCGAAUUUUCAUUCAUCAUAGCAUUUUAAAUCUUGCGACUCAUUUUUGUUUCAUACUUUUUCAGCCUCGAGUACUGGGCUUUUGAGAUUCUAGUGUUCCUAGCAGGAUUGAUGCCUAACUCAGAACUGACUACUUCAUUGAUCGCAAUGUGGUAAGUUUAUUGUUCUUUUUGAUAAUAUUUAUCCUAAAUUGCUUCAGCCUUGACUUGAGUUUCUUUCUUUUCUGAUUGAAUGAUCUCACAGUGUAAAUACCGAAUCUGUUGCCUACAUGAUUACUUAUGGUCUUAGUGCUGCUGCAAGGUCAGUAGUAUAUGUGUAUAACUUCUAGUUCUUCAGUUUUUGCAUUUUUUGUUCGGGAAACUGAAAAACCUGUACCUCUUCACAGCACAAGGGUGUCAAAUGAAUUGGGAGCAGGGAAUCCCGACCAAGCCAAGAAUGCCAUGGCUG
rnacentral:lncRNA from 1 species